AUGAAAUGUAGAGGAUCACUAGACUAUAGAGGAACUGUGAUACAAUUACAUUAUCAUAUGAAAUGUAGAGGAUCACAACACUAUAGAGGAACUAUGAUACAAUUACAUUAUCACAGGACAUGUGGAGGAUCACAAGACUAUAGAGGAACUAUGAUACAAUUACAUUAUCAUAUGAAAUGUAGAGGAUCACUACACUAUAGAGGCACUAUGAUACAAUUACAUUAUCAUAUGAAAUGUAGAGGAUCACUACACUAUAGAGGAACUGUGAUACAAUUACAUUAUCAUAUGAAAUGUAGAGGAUCACUAGACUAUAGAGGAACUGUGAUACAAUUACAUUAUCAUAUGAAAUGUAGAGGAUCACUACACUAUAGAGGCACUACGAUACAAUUACAUUAUCAUAUGAAAUGUAGAGGAUCACUAGACUAUAGAGGAACUGUGAUACAAUUACAUUAUCAUAUGAAAUGUAGAGGAUCACUACACUAUAGAGGAACUAUGAUACAAUUACAUUAUCAUAUGAAAUGUAGAGGAUCACUACACUAUAGAGGAACUAUGAAACAAUUACAUUAUCAUAUGAAAUGUAGAGGAUCACUAGACUAUAGAGGAACUAUGAUACAAUUACAUUAUCAUAUGAAAUGUAGAGAAUCACUAGACUAUAAAGGAACUAUGAUACAAUUACAUUAUCAUAUGAAAUGUAGAGGAUCACUAGACUAUAGAGGAACUGUGAUACAAUUACAUUAUCAUAUGAAAUGUAGAGGAUCACUAGACUAUAGAGGAACUAUGAUACAAUUACAUUAUCAUAUGAAAUGUAGAGGAUCACUACACUAUAGAGGAACUAUGAAACAAUUACAUUAUCAUAUGAAAUGUAGAGGAUCACUAGACUAUAGAGGAACUAUGAUACAAUUACAUUAUCAUAUGAAAUGUAGAGAAUCACUAGACUAUAAAGGAACUAUGAUACAAUUACAUUAUCAUAUGAAAUGUAGAGGAUCACUAGACUAUAGAGGAACUGUGAUACAAUUACAUUAUCAUAUGAAAUGUAGAGAAUCACUAGACUAUAAAGGAACUAUGAUACAAUUACAUUAUCAUAUGAAAUGUAGAGGAUCACUAGACUAUAGAGGAACUGUGAUACAAUUACAUUAUCAUAUGAAAUGUAGAGGAUCACUAGACUAUAGAGGAACUAUGAUACAAUUACAUUAUCAUAUGAAAUGUAGAGGAACUAUGCUUAUUUUAUUUAUUUAUUUCACCUUUAUAUAA
rnacentral:lncRNA from 1 species